AUCAAAGCCAACAGUCGUUCUGAAGCAAGAUCCAUCAUAUCCAGAGAUCUACACUGGGGAACAAGUCAAACUCAUUUGUAGCAUUAAGGAGGAGACAUCAAAAUGGCAAUAUCAGUGGCAAAAACAUUCAGUGCUAGUAAACAAUAAUACUUACACUAUCCUAAAUGCUACACUCGAUCAAAACGGGGAAUACAAUUGUACCAUAACAAGGAGAGAGAUGACAUACACAGAGACCACAAAACUGAAUAUAAGCGAGCCGCCUCAACCAAAACUGUCAAUAGAGUCUGAAUGGAAAACAUUUUACCCAAAUGAAAAUGUGACUCUAAAGUGUUCAAUCGAUGGUGGUCCAAAAGAAUGGGGCUAUGCAUGGUUUAGAAACAGAUCUCAGCUUUCAGAUGUCAAGAACAUUUCCAUUUCUGGAGACACACUCUCAAUCAGCUCAGCAAAAGCGAGUCAUUCAGGACAGUAUAACUGCAGAGGAAAACAUCUGACGAGAACACCAGUGACUACAAGACAAACAGAACCUCUGCAACUUCAAAUUUAUGAUAACACACCAAAACCAGACAUCACAAAGCAUCUGUGGUUUGAGUUCUUCUACACUGGGGAGAAAGUCCAGCUCGGUUGUAACAUGCCUGGUGAUGGAUGGAAUUAUGACUGGUAUAAAGACUCUAAACCUCUGAACACAGAACCCCCCUUCCCUAUCAGCUCAGCAUCUCUCUCUGACGCUGGUGUCUAUUACUGCAAAGCAAAGAGAGGAGACUUCUCAGUGGACAGUGAGACUCUACGAGUGCAAGUUCAAGAGCCGCCUCAACCAAAACUGUCAAUAGAGUCUGAAUGGAAAACAUUUUACCCAACUGAAAAAGUGACUCUGAAGUGUUCAAUUGAUGGAGGUUCAAAUGAAUGGGGCUAUGAAUGGUUUAGAAAUAGCGCUCUGAUUUCAGUUGACAAGGACAUUUCCUUUUCUGGAGACACACUCUCAAUCAGCUCAGCAAAAGAGAUUCAUUCAGGACAGUAUACCUGCAGAGGAAAACAUCUGAACAGAACGACAGUGACUACAAGACAAGCAGAAGCUUUGAAACUUCAAAUUUAUGAUAAAACACAAAAAACAGACAUCACAAAGCAUCGGUGGUUUGAGUUCUUCUACACUGGGGAGAAAGUCCAGCUUGGUUGUAACAUGCCUGGUGUUGGUUGGAAUUAUGACUGGUAUAAAGACUCUAAACCUCUGAACACAGAACCCCCCUUCCCUAUCAGCUCAGCAUCUCUCUCUGACGCUGGUGUCUAUUACUGCAAAGCAAAGAGAGGAGACUUCUCAGUGGACAGUGAGACUCUACGAGUGCAAGUUCAAGAACCACCUGAACCAAAACUGUCAAUAGAGUCUGAAUGGAAAACAUUUUACCCAACUGAAAAAGUGACUCUGAAGUGUUCGAUUGAUGAAGAUAUAAAUGAAUGGGGUUAUGAAUUGUUUAAAAACGGAGCUCAGCUUUCAGGUUAUGAGGACAUUUCCUUUUCUGGAGACACUCUCUCAAUCAGCUCAGCAAAAGCGAGUCAUUCAGGACAGUAUACCUGCAGAGGAAAACAUCUGAAGAGAACAACAGUGACAACAAGACAAACAGAAGCUUUGAAACUACAUAUUUAUGAUAACACACCAAAACCAGACAUCACAAAACAUCAGUGGUUUGAGUUCUUCUACACUGAGGAAGAAGUCCAGCUUGGUUGUAACAUGCCUGGUGAUGGUUGGGAGUAUGACUGGUAUAAAGACUCAAAAACCUUGAUCACAAAUCCAACCUUCACUAUCAGUUCAGCAUCUCUCUCUAACACUGGUGUCUAUCACUGCAAAGCAAAGAGAGGAGACUUCUCAGUGGACAGUGAGACUCUACAAGUGCAAGUUAAACACCCACCUCAAACAAAACUCUCAAUAGAGUCUGAAUGGAAAACAUUUUACCCAACUGAAAAAGUGACUCUGAAGUGUUCAAUUAAUGGAGGUUCAAAUGAAUGGGGCUAUGAAUGGUUUAGAAAUAGCGCUCAGCUUUCAGUUGACACAGACAUUUCCUUUUCUGGAGACACACUCUCAAUCAGCUCAGCAAAAACGAUUCAUUCAGGACAGUAUACCUGCAGAGGAAAACAUCUGAAGAGGACACCAGUGACUACAGGACAAGCAGAAGCUUUGCAACUUCAUAUUUAUGGUGACACACCAAAACCAGACAUCAGAAAAGAUGUGUGGUUUGAGCCCUUCUACACUGAGGAGGAAGUCCAGCUUGGUUGUAACAUGACUGGUGAUGGAUGGAAGUAUGACUGGUAUAAAGACUCAGAAACCUUGAUCACAGAUCCAACCUUCACUAUCAGCUCAGCAUCUCUCUCUAACACUGGUGUCUAUCACUGCAAAGCAAAGAGAGGAGACUUCUCAGUGGACAGUGAGACUCUACAAGUGCGAGUUGAAGAGCCGCCUCAACCAAAACUGUCAAUAGAGUCUGAAUGGAAAACAUUUUACCCAAGUGAAAAAGUGACUCUGAGGUGUUCAAUUGAUGGAGGUUCAAAUGGAUGGGGCUAUGAAUGGUUUAAAAACGGAGCCCAGCUUUCAGUUUAUGAGGACAUUUCCUUUUCUGGAAACACACUCUCAAUCAGCUCAGCAAAAUUGAGUCAUUCAGGACAGUAUACCUGCAGAGGAAAACAUAUGAAGAGAACACCAGUGACUACAGGACAAGCAGAAGCUUUGCAACUUGAUAUUUAUGAUAAUACACCAAAACCAGAUAUCAUAAAACAUCUGUGGUUUGAGUUCUUCUACACUGAGGAAGAAGUCCAGCUUGGUUGUAACAUGCCUGGUGAUGGAUGGAAAUAUGACUGGUAUAAAGAUUCAAAACCUCAGAUCACAAAUACAACCUUCACUAUCAGCUCAGCAUCUCUCUCUGACGCUGGUGUCUAUCAAUGCAAAUCAAAGAGAGGAGACUUCUCAGUGGACAGUGAGAGUCUACAAGUGCAAGUUAAAUACCCACCUCAACCAAAACUGUCAAUAGAGUCUGAAUGGAAAACAUUUUACCCAAAUGAAAAAGUGACUCUGAAGUGUUCAAUUGAUGGAGGUUCAAAUGAAUGGGGCUAUGAAUGGUUUAGAAAUAGAGCUCAGCUUUCAGUUGACAAGGACAUUUCCUUUUCUGGAGACACACUCUCAAUCAGCUCAGCAAAAGCAAGUGAUUCAGGACAGUAUAACUGCAGAGGAAAACAUCUGACGAGAACACCAGUGACUACAGGACAAACAGAUGCUUUGCAACUUCAUAUUUAUGUUGACACACCAAAACCAGACAUCAGAAAAGAUGCAUGGUUUGAGCCCUUCUACACUGAGGAGGAAGUCCAACUUGGUUGUAACAUGCCUGGUGAUGGAUGGAAGUAUGACUGGUAUAAAGACUCAAAACCCUUGAUCACAGAUCCAACCUUCACUAUCAGCUCUGCAUCUCUCUCUAACACUGGUGUCUAUCACUGCAAAGCAAAGAGAGGAAACUUCUCAGUGGACAGUGAGACUCUACAAGUGCGAGUUGAAGAGCCGCCUCAACCAAAACUGUCAAUAGAGACUCCAUGGAAAACAUUUUACCCAAGUGAAAAAGUGACUCUGAAGUGUUCAAUUGAUGGAGGUUCAAAUGAAUGGGGCUAUGAAUGGUUUAGAAACGGAGCUCAGCUUUCAGUUGACAAGGACAUUACCUUUUCUGGAGACACACUCUCAAUCAUCUCAGCAAAAGUGAGUAAUUCUGGACAGUUUACCUGCAGAGGAAAACAUCUGAAGAGAAUGCCUGUGACUACAAGACAAGGAGAAGCUUUGCAACUUCGUAUUUAUGUUGACACACCAAAACCAGAGAUCAGAAAAGAUCAGUGGUUUGAGUUCUUCUACACUGAGGAGAAAGUCCAGCUUGGUUGUAACAUGCCUGGUGAUGGAUGGAAGUAUGACUGGUACAAAGACUCAGAAAACUUGAUCACAGAUCCAACCUUCACUAUCAGUUCUGCAUCUCUCUCUAACACUGGUGUCUAUCACUGCAAAGCAAAGAGAGGAGACUUCUCAGUGGACAGUGAGACUCUACAAGUGCGAGUCAAAGCGCGUCCACCUGCAGUUCUGAGUCUGGAGACCGAAUUGAGCGACAUUAUGUCUGGAAAUAUCCUGACCCUCAGGUGUAACGUCUCAGAGGGCAGACAGUGGAGCUACACCUGGUUCGAGAAUGGACAGAAUCUCAAUGGGUCAUCUCAUAUGUUCAAAGUGACAGCAACUGAAGAAACUAUUAAAAGUGAAUUCAAAUGCAAGGGAAUAAGGACAAAGAGACCACUGUACUCUGCUCUGAGUGAGGGCUUCACGGCCAAUACUAUUAUAUUAAAAAGAAAAAUUCUGCUGGCCAUCUCAGGAUUUCUCAUCUGCUGUAUUGUAAGCCUGAUCAUUGGAUGCCUCGUUCUAAGAUUCACCUGUAAAUCAGAGAAAAAAGAAACAGUACAAGAGGACUUGUUUUUCUCAAUGGCAGACUCCAAUAACCGGCUGCAUUCUGCCCCGGCAAAUGUUGCAAAACGUUUUUUUAAAUGGAAACGGUGGUGCGUUGCACACCCUGUUCUGAUGAUGCAAAAGUUGCAACUAUGGCAGCUGAGAAGGCCAUUCUUUGUGUUCUUUUUGAAGAAUUUUUGGAUCCUGAUGAAGUCGGUAUAAAUACAUGUUGAAUACUGCAAAAUACGUUCAAUGUUACAGUCAAUGCCCUUGCCGUCCUGAAUAAAAGAGAACACAUUUGUAAACAGCUUUACUUGUACCAAUUGUGCAAGCUGUCUCUUUAAUACCGUGUGGUUUAUAUACAUGUUGAUGCUGAUUGGGCUGACAUUUUUGACACACCCACCAAACAAGAGAAAAUGUAUCUCAAACCCUGUUGCACACCAUUGCACACCGUUUCCAGGAAACAUGUCGUUCAACCCAGAAACCUUGAACUUGAGCUUGAACGUGCCCCAGGUUUGUUAUGUUUUGCCAUGUGAUCCCAUGUCAUGUGAUUCCCUUGUCCUCAUGUGAUCCUGCCAUGUGCUCCCUUGUCAUGUGUCCUGUGUUGUCAAUGGUUCAUUGGGUUGAUUGUGCACAGGUGUGUCUUGUCAUUAGUCCCUGUGUAUUUAAGCCCUCAUGUUUGUCAUUUUUCUUUGUUAAGCAUUGUUCCGUGUACCACUGUUUGGUCAGUUUGUUCCUGUUCUUUGUUUGCCAAGCUUAAGCCAUGCCAUGCCAUGCCAUGCCAUGCAAUGCCAAGCCAAGUCAAGUCUAUGUUAUGUUUUGUUUGAUCUUGUAAUGGAAUAAAACUGCACUUGGGUUAUCCACGACUUGCCUACAGUGGAUCCUCAUUACAAAUGUACAGUUUGUACAGUGUAUAUAUAUAUAUAUAUAUAUAUAUAUAUAUAUAUAUAUAUAUUUUUUUUUUUUUUUUUUUUCAAAUGUAAAAAUGCAGAAGGAUUUCUGUGGUGGGUUGAGUUAAGGGAUAAAAUAUACAGUUUGAAUAGUAAAAAAACCUAUGUCUAUGGAAAGCCCUCAUAAAACAUGAAAACGUCUCAAGUUAUGCAUGUAACCAUGGUUCUUUAAAAUUGGGAACAAGAUGCUGUGUCCCCUAGGGGUUGCCAGAGAUGGAAACUCGAGUCUGCGACUUGGACUCAAGUCGCACUUAAGUCACAAAAAUAAACGACUUGCAACUUGACUUGGACUCAUGAACUACUAACUCGUGACUUGACUUGGACUCAUGAACUACUAACCCAAGACUUGACUCAAGACUUGAGUUGAACUUGAAGACAGAGACUUGUGAAAAAUGCAAAUCUUUUGGCGUGACAUUCCAGAUUAUGUUCUCUAUUUACUACCCCACACGAUGGCACGAAACACCACAUUUUACUAUCCAUUCAUUCCCAAAUAUGUGCUGCAGCAGCAAAUAUCACAAAUCAUCUCUAAACACACCAAGCAAUUGAGCGCGUGACACAUUUGAAGGUACACAAAUUCAUCACCCCUUAGAAAACUUGUUAAAUUAGCAACAAAUAAUAACAAUAUAACCAAGCCUUACCUUGCAAUAAACUUUGUCAUUUCAUUUGAAAAGCAAUUAAUUAAUCCGAAGGGAAGCUGCGGUUUUGCACAGCUGCAGAGGCUUGCUUGUGGUCCGUUUUCAAGAAGUACAUGUCCUUUUCAUUUUUUUUUUUUUUUAAUUUAUUUUUGCACAAGUAUUUGAUAAUGCAUAUAAUAUCCAGAUUUACCAUGUUAAAUUGUAUUUGGAUUGAACGUGCACUUCCACGUGCAUUUUAUGACACUGUCUGUCCGACUUAUUUCCACAGGCCGGUUUGUUAAGUCGCAGUGCGUUAUUAUAUCACCUUAUCACAAUCGAGACACACAAAUGGAAAUGUUGUUCAUUGUUUUGUUUACUGUAACGCUUGUCUAUACAUAGAUAUUGUUACCGUCAGCGCUCACUGGAAGACUACAUUUUCCAGCAUUGCUUGAGAUCUACAGCAAACAACCGCAACUCAUAUAGCUCAAAAUACACGGCACUUUUUUCCUUGCGGUGGUUCUAAAUAGUAUCAUUUUGUAUAAAUUUAGAAAGUAAUAGAAAUUAUUUAAGUAGUAUUUUGUGUGCUUUAUUAGACCAUUUUAAAGUAAAAGUAAUCUGUUUUGAUAUUUAAAUAAACUGUUUAUAUUAUAACAACUAGCUGAAAAAAAUAUAUUGAUAAAAAUAGAACAAAGACUUGACUUGAGACUUGACUUGGAUCCCUAAAGACUUGAGACUUGACUUGGACUUGACUUGACUUGGUCCUCAAAGACUUGAGACUUGACUUGAACUUGACUUGACUUGGUCCUCAAAGACUUGAGACUUGACUUGGACUUGACCGCAGGGAAUUGUGAACAUGUCUGGGGGUUGCUAGGGGGAAUGCCUCUGGCAUGCCAGGUGUUUUAAGUGUCUGAAGUCUAAAUACAACAAUGAACUUGACAUCGGCAGGUGGCAGUCUAUGACGUCACCACAGGUGCUAUGAAAGGGCACCUGAAAAUGACGUCAUCCACUUCUUGUCUGAAGGAGACUUUGCAGGAAUGUCUGAAUCAUGGCAAAGGGACGCAGCAUCUCAUUCCCUAUUCUCAGGGAACCUUGGUUACGUGCAUACUUAGAGAUGUUCCCUUUCGAAAGGGAACUUGCGCUCUUAGGGGUCGCUAUGGGGAAUGGAAUACUCAUGCUGCCAUGCUGAAGGGAUGAAUGCCUUAUUUGCUGAGCUAAGUGAAAGACUCAAAGAGUCUUCAUCCCUAGGUGCACCAGUGACAACCAUAGGCAGGAGCUUCUCAAGAAUGGAGGCCUCAAGGAAGACUCUAACAGAGGAAGCCUAGCUAUGUUCAUACUCAGACCAGCUUCCAAAAAGGCUCACAGAGAGCCUAAAAUACUCAAACUUCCAAAAAGCAGCCCUAGAAAGAGGAGGCCUUAACAGCUGGCCCACGAGGCUCCACAGGUGGAGGCCUAAAUAAUAAUAUGAGGCCUAACAACGCUCAUAUAAGCCAAGGAAGCUCAAAGAGAGCCCGGCGACUUAGCAAAUAAUAGCCGAGCUCUUGAAGCGGAUGCCUUCAAAAUAACUGCUCUCUAAUCGUGAGGAGGCCUAACAAUGCCCCACACUCAGGAUGUCUAGAAAGGAGGCUCACAGUGAGCCUUCAACUCAAAAAGGCCUCCGCUCCGUGGAGAGUGGAAACCUAAAUAAAUAUAACUCUUGCUAACAAGAGGAGGCCAGACGACCCCCCACAGUAGCCAUGGAGGCUUAGAGAGAGCCUAACAACUUGGCAAACAUAGCUAGGAGUGGAGGCCCCUCAAAGCCCCUCCUGGCAUAACCAGGUCCUUCAGCAGAUCAGCCUGGUAGGCUUGCAACACAGCCAAAGUGUGCAUCAACAUGCCAUCCUGACCUACUGCCGCAUAUGCUCUGGCAUUAAGAUGCGAGAUGACGUUAGUAGGCAGAGACGAAGCCUUAAACGUGGAUGCCACGCCCAUUGUGAAAUAGCUGGCCAACGUCUCUUUGAUCGGAGGCAUCAACGCUUUCUCAUGCUCCUGCAUUCCCUCAACAACAUCAUAAAUCACCUGAGCGCGGUGGGUAUGGGCAGUAUAUGGCAUGCUCUAAGAUCUCUGCACCUCAUUGUGAAGAUCUGGGAGAAAAGAAAGGCACGUAUGAGAUUGAUAGUUAUGUCCCGACAGGAACCGUUAAUCUAGGCGACCGCGAAGGGGCUCAGGCUUCUCACGUUUCCACAGCAUGUCUAUGCCUGACGUCCCUGUUGAAAAAAACAGCUUAUGCUGGUUAGGUAUGUUUUGAAGCAUGGCAGCUGGUUUAAGCUGGUCAAGUGUUGGUCCUAAGCAACUAGCUCCAUCUCAGGACCAGCUUAUAACCAGUUUAGGACCAUCUUAAACCAGCUCAUGACCAACUUAGGACCAGCAUAAACCAGCUCAAACCAGCUGCCAUGCUUCAAAACAUACCUAACCAGUAUAUACUGUUUUUUAUCAACAGGGAUAACAUCCAAAAACUCGUCAUAUGCUGAGCAAGUGGGCUGAGAGCACAAGGAGCAUUGUAGCUGCCGGAUCAGAUGAUGAGAGAGAUAAUGCAUCAUCAUCUGGCAGCUCACACUUCUGGUAAUGACUGAGAAACAAUCCGCGAGCUCCACCUAUGAUCCCCACAACUUUUGUUUCCUACUCUCCUAAGCCGCAGCAGGUCCUGAACUGCGAGACACAGAUGGCUGGCUUUAUUCCUGGAAAAAAGGGCCAGACAAGAGUGAAAGUCCUCAUAGAAAGGCGCUCAAAAUGCAUGCAAAAAGUCCCCUCAAGGACUGAGCCUGCGAGCUGCUUACUCAUGUGCAUGCACAUAUCGCGGUGUCACAUGAAGCUGACAUUGAAGCAGAGUGAGUUCCCUUUCGAUAGUUAACCCAGUGUGUGUGUGCGUGUGUGUGUGCACGCAUUUACAUUUAUAUGGAUCUUUAAUUACUCUAUAGAAACUGCUUCACCCUUGGAGCAGUACAUGGACAACAGUCCCACAGAGAUGGAAGAAUGUGAGGAAAAAGAAGAAUUGCUCACUGAUCAUGUUGCAGCUCUUCCUGAAGAUGAUGUGAUUAAAGAUGAAGACUCACCAGCAGCAGAAGCU